UAGGGAAUCUUCCGCAAUGGACGAAAGUCUGACGGAGCAACGCCGCGUGAGUGAUGAAGGCUUUCGGGUCGUAAAACUCUGUUGUUAGGGAAGAACAAGUGCUAGUUGAAUAAGCUGGCACCUUGACGGUACCUAACCAGAAAGCCACGGCUAACUACGUGCCAGCAGCCGCGGUAAUACGUAGGUGGCAAGCGUUAUCCGGAAUUAUUGGGCUAAAGCGCGCGCAGGUGGUUUCUUAAGUCUGAUGUGAAAGCCCACGGCUCAACCGUGGAGGGUCAUUGGAAACUGGGAGACUUGAGUGCAGAAGAGGAAAGUGGAAUUCCAUGUGUAGCGGUGAAAUGCGUAGAGAUAUGGAGGAACACCAGUGGCGAAGGCGACUUUCUGGUCUGUAACUGACACUGAGGCGCGAAAGCGUGGGGAGCAAACAGGAUUAGAUACCCUGGUAGUCCACGCCGUAAACGAUGAGUGCUAAGUGUUAGGAGGGUUUCCG
rnacentral:rRNA from 1 species